GAUGAACGCUGGCGGCGUGCCUAAUACAUGCAAGUCGAGCGAACAGACGAUGAGCUUGCUCCUCUGACGUUAGCGGCGGACGGGUGAGUAACACGUGGAUAACCUACCUAUAAGACUGGGAUAACUUCGGGAAACCGGAGCUAAUACCGGAUAAUAUAUUGAACCGCAUGGUUCAAUAGUGAAUGACGGUUUUGCUGUCACUUAUAGCUGGAUCCGCGCCGCAUUAGCUAGUUGGUAAGGUAACGGCUUACCAAGGCAACGAUGCGUAGCCGACCUGAGAGGGUGAUCGGCCACACUGGAACUGAGACACGGUCCAGACUCCUACGGGAGGCAGCAGUAGGGAAUCUUCCGCAAUGGGCGAAAGCCUGACGGAGCAACGCCGCGUGAGUGAUGAAGGUCUUCGGAUCGUAAAACUCUGUUAUUAGGGAAGAACAAAUGUGUAAGUAACUAUGCACGUCUUGACGGUACCUAAUCAGAAAGCCACGGCUAACUACGUG
rnacentral:rRNA from 1 species